rnacentral:rRNA from 1 species
CCCUUAGAUGUUCUGGGCCGCACGCGUGCUACACUGAGUGGAUCAGCGGGUCAGGUUGCGCGAAAGCGUUUCCUAAUCUUUAAAUCCGCUCGUGAUGGGGAUUGACGGUUGCAAUUUUCUGUCAUGAACGAGGAAUACCUUGUAAGCGCGGGUCAUCAUCCCGCGCUGAAUACGUCCCUGCCCUUUGUACACACCGCCCGUCGCUCCUACCGAUUGGAUGGUUUAGUGAGACCCACGGAUUGGUCCCAGCAUGGCGGGUUACCGCCGCGCUGGCGCGCCGAGAAGUCGGUCGAACUUGAUUAUCUAGAGGAAGUAAAAGUCGUAACA